rnacentral:rRNA from 1 species
AGUCAAUAGAUACCCUGGUAGUCCACGCCGUAAACGAUGAGUACUAGGUGUAGGAGGUAUCGACUCCUUCUGUGCCGCAGUUAACACAAUAAGUACUCCGCCUGGGAAGUACGGUCGCAAGAUUAAAACUCAAAGGAAUUGACGGGGGCCCGCACAAGCAGCGGAGCAUGUGGUUUAAUUCGAAGCAACGCGAAGAACCUUACCUAGACUUGACAUCCCCUGAAUAACGUAGAGAUACGCGAAGCCCUUCGGGGCAGGGAGACAGGUGGUGCAUGGUUGUCGUCAGCUCGUGUCGUGAGAUGUUGGGUUAAGUCCCGCAACGAGCGCAACCCUUAUCAUUAGUUGCUACCAUUUAGUUGAGCACUCUAGUGAGACUGCCCGGGUUAACCGGAGGAAGGCGGGGAUGACGUCAAAUCAUCAUGCCCCUUAUGUCUAGGGCUACACACGUGCUACAAUGGUGAGAACAACGAGAUGCAAUACCGCGAGGUGGAGCAAAACUUCAAAACUCAUCUCAGUUCGGAUUGUAGGCUGAAAC